UUUUGCCUACGGGAGGCAGCAGUGGGGAAUAUUGCACAAUGGGGGGAACCCUGAUGCAGCAAUGCCGCGUGAAGGAUGAAGGUUUUCGGAUUGUAAACUUCUUUUGUACGGGACGAAGAAAGUGACGGUACCGUAAGAAUAAGCCACGGCUAACUACGUGCCAGCAGCCGCGGUAAUACGUAGGUGGCAAGCGUUAUCCGGAUUUACUGGGUGUAAAGGGCGUGUAGGCGGGAGAGCAAGUCAGACGUGAAAUUCCAGGGCUCAACCCUGGAACUGCGUUUGAAACUGUUCUUCUUGAGUGAUGG
rnacentral:rRNA from 1 species